GAAGCCCGCCAGACUGCCGCUGGUGCAAUCUUGGAAACAAGGCACUGGAGGAACGUCCGGACUGCAUAGGGCAGCGUAGCAGCUAACGGCUGUCCACUGAAAGGUCGCAAGACUAUAAGGUGAGGAUCAGAGCAACAGAGACGAGUCGCAGCGGGGCAACCUGAUGCGGGUGAAACGGGCAAUCUCUACGCGCAGCAAUACCAAGUAGGCCAGCGUUGAUGGGGCCCCCAGAGCUGGCGGGUAGGUAGCACCGAGCUGUUGGGUGACCAACAGCCCAGAUUAAUGGCAGUCACGUUUGGGGCAACCCAGACGCACAGAAUCCGGCUUAUCGGUGGGCUUCACAC
rnacentral:RNase_P_RNA from 2 species